rnacentral:lncRNA from 1 species
UUGUUUUUCUGUUUUUGCAGUUUAUUUUAAUUUAGUUUAGGCAUUAAAUCAUUUUGGAAAGAUAUGGAACUUUUUCUUGGCACUAACAAAAAUAUUUCGGAGGCCCUGGCCAGGUUUCUUAUUUAUUGGAGCUAUAAACUUAUUUAUAAUAUUUUAUAACUCCAAUACAAAUAUUUAUUAGUUUAAAGAAACGUAGGGACGUGAGAACUAACCACCACUUGAAAGAAUCUCGUCCCGUGAUUCAGG